CAAUGAGAACAAACAGCUCUCUCAUUGGAGGUAGUUCCGCAGCCUAAAUGCUACUACAAGAACGAUUACACAUGCCCCAUGUCGCAUCCAACACACACCAUGUUCACGGAGGAGAUGGGAUGUUCUGCACUCUUUUUUGCUCCACACAGAAACCAAUAGGUGCCAAGGAAAAGAAGCAUCCUCUUACAUACCCAGCAUAGAGUAGUCGACCACACUGGAUAGUAACAUGUUUGCAGCAAAUAA